UACGUAGGGGGCUAGCGUUGUCCGGAAUCAUUGGGCGUAAAGCGCGUGUAGGCGGCCCGGUAAGUCCGCUGUGAAAGUCGGGGGCUCAACCCUCGAAUGCCGGUGGAUACUGUCGGGCUAGAGUACGGAAGAGGCGAGUGGAAUUCCUGGUGUAGCGGUGAAAUGCGCAGAUAUCAGGAGGAACACCCAUUGCGAAGGCGGCCUGCUGGACGAUGACUGACGCUGAGACGCGAAAGCGUGGGGAGCAAACAGG
rnacentral:rRNA from 1 species